rnacentral:rRNA from 1 species
AGUACAGACGAGUUUGAUCAUGGCUCAGACGACGCUGGCGGCAGGCCUAAUACAUGCAAGUCGAACGAUCCUUCGGGAUAGUGGCGCACGGGUGAGUAACACGUGGGAACAUACCCCUUGGGUGCGGAACAACGUCGGGAAACUGACGCUAAUACCGCAUAAUGACUCCGGUCCAAAGAUUUAUCGCCCAAGGAUUGGCCCGCGCUAGAUUAGGUUGUUGGUGAGGUAACGGCUCACCAAGCCUACGAUCUAUAGCUGGUCUGAGAGGAUGAUCAGCCACACUGGGACUGAGACACGGCCCAGACUCCUACGGGAGGCAGCAGUAAGGAAUAUUGGGACAAUGGGGGCAACCCUGAUCCAGCCAUGCCGCGUGAGUGAAGAAGGCCUUAGGGUUGUAAAGCUCUUUCAGGUGCGAAGAUAAUGACUGUAACACCAGAAGAAGCCCCGGCUAAAUUCGUG